rnacentral:rRNA from 1 species
UUUACGGCUCAGUAACACGUGGAUAACCUGCCCUUGGGUCCGGCAUAACCCCGGGAAACUGGGGAUAAUUCCGGAUAACGCACAUAUGCUGGAAUGCUUUAUGCGUAAAAUGGAUUCGUCUGCCCAAGGAUGGGUCUGCGGCCUAUCAGGUAGUAGUGGGUGUAAUGUACCUACUAGCCAACAACGGGUACGGGUUGUGAGAGCAAGAGCCCGGAGAUGGAUUCUGAGACAUGAAUCCAGGCCCUACGGGGCGCAGCAGGCGCGAAAACUUUACAAUGCGGGAAACCGUGAUAAGGGGACACCGAGUGCCAGCAUCAUAUGCUGGCUGUCCAGGUGUGUAAAAUACACCUGUUAGCAAGGGCCGGGCAAGACCGGUGCCAGCCGCCGCGGUAACACCGGCGGCCCGAGUGGUGAUCGUGAUUAUUGGGUCUAAAGGGUCCGUAGCCGGUUUGGUCAGUCCUCCGGGAAAUCUGACGGCUCAACCGUUAGGCUUUCGGGGGAUACUGCCAGGCUUGGAACCGGGAGAGGUAAGAGGUACUACAGGGGUAGGAGUGAAAUCUUGUAAUCCCUGUGGGACCACCUGUGGCGAAGGCGUCUUACCAGAACGGGUUCGACGGUGAGGGACGAAAGCUGGGGGCACGAACCGGAUUAGAUACCCGGGUAGUCCCAGCCGUAAACGAUGCUCGCUAGGUGUCAGGCAUGGCGCGACCGUGUCUGGUGCCGCAGGGAAGCCGUGAAGCG